rnacentral:rRNA from 1 species
AUGCUGAAGAAACUGAUAUCGAAGACCAAGAGCAAGAAGAAGAAGGAAGCUGCCUCUUCUUCCCUCCCCACCUUGGAUCGACUACAUGAGACCCUAGAAAUGCUGGAGAAGAAAGAGCGUUUGCUUCAGAAAAAGUCUUCCGCGGAAAUAGAAAAGGCCAAGGACUAUACAAAGGCAAAGAAUAAGAAUGCUGCAAUUCAGUGUUUAAAGAAAAAGAAGUUGUAUGAAACACAGAUUGAGCAGCUAUCGAAUUUUCAGUUGCGGGUUCAUGAUCAGAUUAUAAUGCUUGAAAAUGCAAAGGCAACAACUGACACUGUUGAUGCUUUGCGCUCUGGGUCAUCUGCUGUCAAAGCUAUUCAACAGUCCCUGAGUAUUGAUGACAUUGAGAAUGCAAUUGAAGAGGCGAACGAACAUACGGAAAAUAUGAAACAGAUACAGGAUGCACUUGCUACACCAUUCGGUGCUUCGGCUGAAUUCGAUGAGGACGAGUUGGAGGCGGAACUGGAAGACCUCGAGGAGGAAGAACUGGACCUGGAGCUGCCUGAACCGCCGCGGGGGACACACGUGGCGCCAUCAACGUCGGCUGCGACUUCUCGACCGGCGGCUAGCGAUUUCGCUGAACUGACCAAGCUUCAAGCAGAGAUGGCGCUUUAG